GUGUUUGCUUAGGCAGCACAUAUGCUAAAAUUGGAACAAUACAAAGAAGAUAAGCAUGGAUCCUGCGCAAGGAUGACAUGCAAAUUCAUGAAGCAUUCCGUAUUUUU